GAUGAACGCUGGCGGCAUGCCUAAUACAUGCAAGUCGAGCGAACAGAUGAGGAGCUUGCUCCUCUGACGUUAGCGGCGGACGGGUGAGUAACACGUGGAUAACCUACCUAUAAGACUCGGAUAACUUCGGGAAACCGGAGCUACUACCGGAUAAUAUAUCGAACCGCAUGGUUCAAUAGUGAAAGACGGUUUUGCUUUCACUUAUAGAAGGAUCCGCGCCGCAUUAGCUAGUUGGUAAGGUAACGGCUUACCAAGGCUACGAUGCGUAGCCGACCUGAGAGGGUGAACGGCCACACUGGAACUGAGACACGGUACAGACUCCUACAGGAGGCAGCAGUAGGGAAUCUUCCGCGAUGGGCGAAAGCCUGACGGAGCAACGCCGCGUGAGUGAUGAAGGUCUUCGGAUGGUAAAACUCUGUUAUUAGGGAAGAAGAAAUGUGUAAGUAACUAUGCACGUCUUGACGGUACCUAAAGAGAAAGCCACGGCUAACUUCGUG
rnacentral:rRNA from 1 species